UCGCAUACAAACUAGGAGCUU
rnacentral:piRNA from 1 species